UUGAAUUCAUACAAUGCUUCAAGUCUGCACCUUGAGUAUGUGUGUACUUAGCUGUAUGCAAAAUAACAGAUGUAUUUUAAACAUGCUGUGGUUGGGCUUAGCAUUAUCACCGAGAUGCCAAAAUGGGCAGCUAAACAAUUUCAUGUGGAUCUGAUCUUCUGCUCUACGUUGCUUUCAGUUUACUGGUACUUUCUUAAGAAAUGCACUGAUAAAGCUUUCAUAUGACAUAAGCUGAGAGAAUUCCUGUUGUACAUUGGCUUUAAUGAGAUUGCCUGUCAAGAUAAGAAAAGAUAUAAGCCUGUCUAUAUUUGAAGUUAUACCUUGCCACGAUGUCAUGAAUAAUUACCCUAAACAACAUAUUUAGUAAACUAUCGAUCCUGGGAAAGAAUGUUCAUCAUGCCACAGGACACCCUUUCUACUGAACUCCAAGGCCUGCAUUGAUAUAUAUACCCUUGUUUAAAAUGGUGUACCAUUGCUUUCAUGGCAUAUAAAUGUAUACCUUCCCAUUACUCCCCAUUGUUUCUAUGAAAUGUAUAACCCUGCUAUGACAUAUGCAGCAUUUGGAAUUAAUGCUUAUAACUGAUUUUAAUACCCUGCAUUUCUUUUUGGUAAUGUGCGAACAUUCAACACAUGAAUAUAAAAAUGUCUUAAAUAUAUGCAUAAAUAAUACUUUAAAAAUGCAUAUUUAACUGAAAAAUCAUAAAAUAUUAACUGUGGUUCUUAUUACUGAAUUUGUCACUUCAAGGAAAACAUGCAUCUUCCACCUAAUUUUGUGCAUAAUAACAUAUUGCUGGCACUAUGUUUUGUACCAUCUAGUUACCUUACAGACUUACAAAAAUGAAAAGUCUGGAAACCAUG